rnacentral:tRNA from 1 species
GCCUGGGUGGCUCAGUGGGUUGAGCAUCUGACUUCCGCUCAGGUCAUGAUCCCUCGGUUUGUGAGUUCGAGCCUCACGUCAGUCU